rnacentral:rRNA from 1 species
GAUGAACGCUAGCGGCAGGCUUAACACAUGCAAGUCGAGGGGUAGAGGAAGCUUGCUUCCUUGAGACCGGCGCACGGGUGCGUAACGCGUAUGCAACCUACCUUUUACAGAGGGAUAGCCCAGAGAAAUUUGGAUUAAUACCUCAUAGUAUAUAGUCUUCGCAUGUUGACUAUAUUAAAGUUCCAACGGUAAAAGAUGGGCAUGCGUCCUAUUAGCUAGAUGGUAAGGUAACGGCUUACCAUGGCAACGAUAGGUAGGGGUCCUGAGAGGGAGAUCGCCCACACUGGUACUGAGACACGGACCAGACUCCUACGGGAGGCAGAAGUGAGGAAUAUUGGACAAUGGGCGCAAGCCUGAUCCAGCCAUGCCGCGUGCAGGAAGAAGCAUCUAUGGUGUGUAAACUGCUUUUGUACAGGAAGAAACACCCCGACGUGUCGGGACUUGACGGUACUGUAAGAAUAAGGAUCGGCUAACUCCGUGCCAGCCGCCGCAGUAAAAC